CUCUUCCUACGGGGCGCAGCAGUGGGGAAUUUUGGACAAUGGGCGCAAGCCUGAUCGAGCUAUUCCGCAUGUGGGAUGACGGCCCUCGGGUUGUAAACCACUUUAGUAGAGAACGAAAAGGAGCUAUCGAAUAAAUAGCUCUGCUGACGGUACUCUAAGAAUAAGCACCGGCUAACUACGUGCCAGCAGCCGCGGUAAUACGUAGGGUGCGAGCGUUAACCGGAAUUACUAGGCGUUAAGGGUGUGCAGGCGGCUGAGUAAGACAGAUGUGAAAUCCCCGGGCUUAACCUGGGAACCGC
rnacentral:rRNA from 1 species